rnacentral:lncRNA from 1 species
GAUAUGUGUGCAGCAAAGGGGAGCUUCAUGUGCAAGGAAGGCAUAGAAGAUGUGAGACUGUUUUGUUUUGAACGAGGAGGGCCGAAAGAUACACCAACAAAUUCAGUUUGAACUUUGAAUAAAUAUGAUAUGCGUGUUUACAAAUCUUCUCUCGUGCUUGGAAACCUUAAGAUUGUUCUAUUACCGUGAGAUUUUUUGUGUCAU